rnacentral:rRNA from 1 species
UCCACUGAGGCACGUCGUAGACGAUGACGUUGAUAGGUCAGGGGUGUAAGUGCAGUAAUGUAUUUAGCUGACUGAUACUAAUAAGCCGAAAGCUUGAUCUAA